rnacentral:rRNA from 1 species
UACGUAGGUGUCAAGCGUUAUCCGGAUUUACUGGGCGUAAAGGGAGCGCAGGCGGCGCGCCAAGUCUGAUGUGAAACCCCGGGGCUCAACCCCGGGCAUGCAUUGGAAACUGGCGGGCUGGAGUGCCGGAGAGGUAAGCGGAAUUCCUAGUGUAGCGGUGAAAUGCGUAGAUAUUAGGAGGAACACCAGUGGCGAAGGCGGCUUACUGGACGGCAACUGGCGCUGAGGCUAGAAAGCGUGGGGAGCAAACAGG